AUUGAACGCUGGCGGCAGGCCUAACACAUGCAAGUCGAGCGGAUGAAGGGAGCUUGCUCCUGGAUUCAGCGGCGGACGGGUGAGUAAUGCCUAGGAAUCUGCCUGGUAGUGGGGGAUAACGUCCGGAAACGGGCGCUAAUACCGCAUACGUCCUGAGGGAGAAAGUGGGGGAUCUUCGGACCUCACGCUAUCAUAUGAGCCUAGGUCGGAUUAGCUAGUUGGUGGGGUAAAGGCCUACCAAGGCGACGAUCCGUAACUGGUCUGAGAGGAUGAUCAGUCACACUGGAACUGAGACACGGUCCAGACUCCUACGGGAGGCAGCAGUGGGGAAUAUUGGACAAUGGGCGAAAGCCUGAUCCAGCCAUGCCGAGUGUGUGGAGAAGGUCUUCGGAUUGUAAAGCACUUUAAGUUGGGAGGAAGGGCAGUAAGUUAAUACCUUGCUGUUUUGACGUUACCAACAGAAUAAGCACCGGCUAACUUCGUG
rnacentral:rRNA from 1 species